GCCUGUGUGGCUUAGUUGGUUGAGCAUCUGACUUCAGCUCAGGUCAUUAUCUCACGGGUUGUGAGUUCAAGCCCCAUGUCGGGCU
rnacentral:tRNA from 1 species